GACGAACGCUGGCGGCGUGCUUAACACAUGCAAGUCGAACGGAAAGGCCCUGCUUUUGUGGGGUGCUCGAGUGGCGAACGGGUGAGUAACACGUGAGUAACCUGCCCUUGACUUUGGGAUAACUUCAGGAAACUGGGGCUAAUACCGGAUAGGAGCUCCUGCUGCAUGGUGGGGGUUGGAAAGUUUAGGCGGUUGGGGAUGGACUCGCGGCUUAUCAGCUUGUUGGUGGGGUAGUGGCUUACCAAGGCUUUGACGGGUAGCCGGCCUGAGAGGGUGACCGGCCACCUUGGGACUGCGAUACGGACCAGACGGGUACGGGAGGCAGUAGUGGCGACUAUUGCCCAAUGGGCGGAAGCCUGAUGAAGCAACGCCGCGUGCGGGAUGACGGCCUUCGGGUUGUAAACCGCUUUCGCCUGUGACGCAGCGUGAGUGACGGUAAUGGGUAAAGAAGCACCGGCUAACUACGUG
rnacentral:rRNA from 1 species